rnacentral:rRNA from 1 species
AUGACACCAUUAGGGUGUGAUUACUGUAGCCUAAUUAUUCGGGCGUCACAUCGUGUGGGGAGACAUGGCUGGGAGGUUUCAUGUUGCGGUUCUUCGGUGCUCACCGCUGGUCCAAGUACAUCUUCUUCGGCGCUAUGUACGUCGUCGAUGGAGAGUCAAAGACGAUGGCUUUGUCGGGAUCAAUCGAGUCCCGCCACCCACUCGCCAUCUCCUUUUAGGCAUUCAAAGGUGGUUGGUGCGUCGACAAGGGAGAUCCGGGUUCAGCUGUUGCUCUUCGAGGUGACCGUCAUCGGUAGAGACGCGGCUUAG